AGGGUCUUAGCUCAAUGGAAGAGCACCGGAAGGGUUCCGGUGGUUGAAGGUUCGAAUCCUUCAGGUCCUG
rnacentral:tRNA from 1 species